CGUUAGGCAAAGAGGUUCUAGAAAUGAUAAGGGAGAUAAAAAGGAAAGUUAGGAGUAGAAUCUCUAAUUUCAUUUUACCCCACCUCUCUGAUCUUAAACCCAAGAAGUCCAAAAUUGGAACCAGGAUUAGGUAACCUGCUACCAAUGGAUGUAAACAAUAUUUGCCUGGGGCUUACGAGGUUUAACUUAAGACCCAAAGAGCUUUGGCGGUUCUAUUCACAGCCAGGGGAGCAUGGCCUGUAACCGACAACCCCCGACAGUCUUACCUUCCCUAUCACAAGCUUAUAUACCCCCGUGCAAUUCACAAUUUAAUUUUAAAGAAGUGACAUCCCAACCCGGGACUGCUUUUUAUACAGGUCGAGGUGUAGCCAAUGGGAAGGGUUGAGCUUUGCUACUUUAAUUACAUUAAAUGAAGGCUGAAUACGAAAGUUCUCUCCGAAAUAGUACUUGGGAGUAAAGUGUCCUUAGAAAGUAUGCUUGAAACAUAAGAAUAGAGCGCACAAAUCGCCCGUCAAUCCCUCCUCUUAGGAGGGAUAA
rnacentral:rRNA from 1 species